GAUGAACGCUGGCGGCGUGCCUAAUACAUGCAAGUCGAGCGAACGGACGAGAAGCUUGCUUCUCUGUUGUUUGCGGCGGACGGGUGAGUAACACGUGGAUAAUCUACCUAUAAGACUGGGAUAACCUCGGGAAACCGGAGCUAAUCCCGGAUAAUCUUUUGAACCGCAUGGUUCAAAAGUGAAAGACGGUCUUGCGGUCACUUAUCGAUGGAUCCGCGCUGCAUUAGCUAGUUGGUAAGGUAACGGCUUACCGAGGCAACGAUGCAUAACCGACCUGAGAGGGUGAUCGGCCACACUGGAACUGAGACACGGUCCAGAGUCCUACGGGAGGCAGCAGUAGGGAAUCUUCCGCAAUGGGCGAAAGCCUGACGGAGCAACGCCGCGUGAGUGAUGAAGGUCUUCGGAGCGUAAAACUCUGUUAUUAGGGAAGAACAUAUGUGUAAGUAACUGUGCACAGCUUGACGGUACCUAAUCAGAAAGCCACGGCUAACUACGUG
rnacentral:rRNA from 1 species